GAUGAACGCUGGCGGCGUGCUUAACACAUGCAAGUCGAGCGAAGCACUUUUGCGGAUUUCUUCGGAUUGAAGCAACUGUGACUGAGCGGGCGACGGGUGAAGUAACGCGUGGGUAACCUGCCUCAUACAGGGGGAUAACAGUUGGAAACGGCUGCUAAUACCGCAUAAGCGCACAGUACCGCAUGGUACCGUGUGAAAAACUCCGGUGGUAUGAGAUGGACCCGCGUCUGAUUAGCUAGUUGGUGGGGUAACGGCCUACCAAGGCGACGAUCGGUAGCCGGACUGAGAGGUUGAACGGCCACAUUGGGACUGAGACACGGCCCAG
rnacentral:rRNA from 1 species